rnacentral:lncRNA from 1 species
GCUAUAACCUCACUUCAUUUUCUACAAUAGAUAGCUAUGCCAAGAAUUCUUCUAUUCUUUAACAUUAUUUGCAUUCUUCUUGACUAAAUUUAUAUUUCAUUUACAAUAUAGAUCAUCAGUUUCAUAAAAAUCACAGGCUUUUGGGGAUGCACAGACAGCUAAAUUGCAAUGAACAUAGUAGUCUGGACAAUUCCUUCUAAGAUGGAAUAGUGCAACUGGAUCAAGGAAUUUCUCUUCCACAAUAUCUAAGGGAUAUAUAUCAGAGUAGUGAACUCUCCCACCUGCAAAAACAUGACAGGCUGAAGAAUGGAAAUUUGGGAAGUGUUCUGGAGAACACUGAAAUAGAGUCACUGCUCACAUUGAAGAUGUCUGAUUUGUAUAUUCAGUUAGGAAACGGCAGCUUGCAAAAGUAUCUGGAAGAGAAGUUAGUCGAUACCCGUAGUAUUAAUUUGCUCAUUUUAAUACUGGCACACUUUGCCUUUCCCUUCAUGCUUUACUGAAUCGAAUUGUUCUAUUCCCAUAUCACAAUCGUCUCCUCUCUCUCUCCAGUGUAGAAAUUCCCCGCGUGCUCGCCUCAUUCACUCCUCCUUCGCCUGCAGCACCCAUUCAUACAGCUGUUUCCUGUUCCUUUGCGGUUUCCAGCCACCAAUUUCCUUUCACAAGUACAAAGCCAUCAAUUAAAAGCAAAGUUUGAGUGAAAGUUCUAGGUUUUUCGGAAAGUCCUAUAUAAGAGACUAUUUUUUUUCCUUCCAAUGAAAAUUUUAGAACUUAGGGAAUGUCCCUGUUACAAUGAUGUAACAGUAGCUGUAGCUAAAACGAACUAGAAAGCAGGAUUCAUUUCACUCUGGGGGCUACUGAAACAUUUACAGAGGAAGAGAGCCACCUAUUGGCCAAGACGGGACGAAGACAUAGACCAAGUCCGGAGAGCAGGCUUCUUUCUGUUCUAGGCAAAAGUCUGAUGCGUUCCACCUACUUCAGAGCUACAAAGAGCUUCUUUCCUGGAAAUAACUGACUCCAAAACUUUAAGCUGAUUUCCUUAGCUUUUCUAUCUUAGAGAGGGGAAACACUCCCAGCUUUGGGCCAGACGUGCCCUCUUUGGGCAAUGGACAGCUAUGUGGAGAGAAAGGGUCAUCAUGCGUUUCUUGCCUCCAGGCUGCUCACAAUGGCCAGAGCCUCCUGAAUCACUCCCUUUGCAUAAAUACAUCCUGUAGGACACUUGCAGGC